rnacentral:lncRNA from 1 species
CGCGCGAGUCGACUCUAACCCACCAACGGACACAUUGUCAGGCUGCGCAGAGUGUGCAGAACGGGCAGAAAAAGCUCUCUAACGGCUAGUUUCCGUGGGGGUUGGUUUAAAUAGCCACAGAAGACUGUAGCAAGGGAGAGAAGAACCAUUCCACUCCAACUAAUCAAGCAUUCAAGCUCUGCAACGUGUUCUUCAAUGAAAAAGAGGAAGAUCUGCAUUUACUGCAUCCACCUACAUCUUCCCAGCAAUUAAAGCCUUCUCCUCCUGCAUUCAAGUCGACUACUCACUCAAGAGGAGACCAGAAGUUUAAGAAGCCAUUCCUCUUCUCCAACCUAAAAGCGUUUGAGGCUUCUUAACUUCAUUUAUUGUUCAUAUUGUCUAUUAUCUGUUUUUGAGAAGCUGUAUUUUUCUGUUUCUUCUUUUUAUUUACAUAUUGUAUUUGCUUGGUUCAAUCGGGGGAUUGAAUCAAGGGGAUUGAGGUUGGUUGGUGAGCCGAGUGUAAAACCAACGUGUGUAAGGGUUCGAUUGUGAUCCCGAG